rnacentral:rRNA from 1 species
AUACGUAGGGUGCAAGCGUUAAUCGGAAUUACUGGGCGUAAAGCGUGCGCAGGCGGUUUUGUAAGAAAGUGGUGAAAGCCCCGGGCUCAACCUGGGAACUGCCAUUGUGACUGCAAGGCUGGAGUGCGGCAGAGGGGGAUGGAAUUCCGCGUGUAGCAGUGAAAUGCGUAGAUAUGCGGAAGAAAACCGAUGGCGAAGGCAAUCCCCGGGGCCUGUACUGACGGUCAUGCACGAAAGCGUGGGGAGCAAACAGGAAUAGAUACCAUGAUGGUCCACGCCCUAAACGAUGUCAACUGGGUGUUGGGGCUUCAGUGACUCAGUAACGAAGCGAACGCGAGAAGUUGACCGCCUGUGGAGUACGGCCGCAAGGUUGAAACGCAAAUGAAUUGACGGGG